GCGAGGAUAGCCAAGCCUGGCCAAUUGCGUUCAGAUGUGCGGGUCGGAAGACUUCGGAGUUCAUAGGCGCACGGCGAUAGGCGACCAUACCUGGUCGCGACUAAGCCGUGAACCGAAUAUUAACGCAUACAAACGCAGGCUUACGGCGAUAGACUCAAGAUCUAUUCCUUAGUGGUUCGCCGGUUCGAAUCCGGUUCCUCGCA
rnacentral:tRNA from 1 species